rnacentral:rRNA from 1 species
CAGUAGCCACGGGAAUACAGAGGGUGCAAGCGUUAAUCGGAAUUACUGGGCGUAAAGCGCGCGUAGGUGGUUCGCCAAGUUGGAUGUGAAAUCCCCGGGCUCAACCUGGGAACUGCAUCCAAAACUGGCGAGCUAGAGUAUGGUAGAGGGUGGUGGAAUUUCCUGUGUAGCGGUGAAAUGCGUGGAUAUAGGAAGGAACAUCAGUGGCGAAGGCGACCACCUGGACUGAUACUGACACUGAGGUGCGAAAGCGUGGGGAGCAAACAGGAUUAGAUACCCGAGUAGUCCCUGUCUCUUAUAA